AGAUUGAACGCUGGCGGCAUGCCUUACACAUGCAAGUCGAACGGCAGCGCGGGAGCAAUCCUGGUGGCGAGUGGCGAACGGGUGAGUAAUACAUCGGAACGUGCCCAAUCGUGGGGGAUAACGCAGCGAAAGCUGGGCUAAUACCGCAUAAGAUCUACGGAUGAAAGCAGGGGAUCGCAAGACCUUGCGCGAAUGGAGCGGCCGAUGGCAGAUUAGGUAGUUGGUGAGGUAAAGGCUCACCAAGCCUUCGAUCUGUAGCUGGUCUGAGAGGACGACCAGCCACACGUGGGACUGACGACACCGGCCCAGACCUCCGUACGGGAGCAG
rnacentral:rRNA from 1 species